rnacentral:rRNA from 1 species
UACGUAAGUGGCGAGCGUUAUCCGGAAUUACUGGGCGUAAAGCGCACGUAGGCGGACUAUUAAGUCAGGGGUGAAAUCCCGGGGCUCAACCCCGGAACUGCCUUUGAUACUGGAAGUCUUGAGUCCGGGAGAGGUGAGUGGAACUCCGAGUGUAGAGGUAGAAAUUCGUAGAUAUUCGGAAGAACCACCCGUGGCUAAGGCGGUUCUCUGGGCCUUACCUGACGCUGAGGAGCGAAAGCAUGGGGAGCAAACAGG